rnacentral:rRNA from 1 species
GUGAAACUGCGAAUGGCUCAUUAAAUCAGUUAUAGUUUAUUUGAUGGUACCUUGCUACAUGGAUAACUGUGGUAAUUCUAGAGCUAAUACAUGCAAUAAAGCCCCGACUUCUGGAAGGGGUGUAUUUAUUAGAUAAAAAACCAACGCGGUUCGCCGCUCCUUUGGUGAUUCAUAAUAACUUCUCGAAUCGCACGGCCUUGUGCUGGCGAUGCUUCAUUCAAAUAUCUGCCCUAUCAACUUUCGAUGGUAGGAUAGUGGCCUACCAUGGUUUCAACGGGUAACGGGGAAUAAGGGUUCGAUUCCGGAGAGGGAGCCUGAGAAACGGCUACCACAUCCAAGGAAGGCAGCAGGCGCGCAAAUUACCCAAUCCCGACACGGGGAGGUAGUGACAAUAAAUAACAAUAUAGGGCCCUUUUGGGUCUUAUAAUUGGAAUGAGUACAAUUUAAAUCCCUUAACGAGGAACAAUUGGAGGGCAAGUCUGGUGCCAGCAGCCGCGGUAAUUCCAGCUCCAAUAGCGUAUAUUAAAGUUGUUGCAGUUAAAAAGCUCGUAGUUGAACUUCAGACCUGGCCGGAUGGUCUGCCUAACGGUAUGUACUGUCUUGGCCGGGCCUUACCUCUUGGUGAGCCAUCAUGCCCUUCACUGGGUGUGGUGGGGAACCAGGACUUUUACCUUGAGAAAAUUAGAGUGUUCAAAGCAGGCCUACGCCCGAAUACAUUAGCAUGGAAUAAUAAAAUAGGACGUGCGGUUCUAUUUUGUUGGUUUCUAGAGUCGCCGUAAUGAUUAAUAGGGAUAGUUGGGGGCAUUAGUAUUCAGUUGCUAGAGGUGAAAUUCUUGGAUUUACUGAAGACUAACUACUGCGAAAGCAUUUGCCAAGGAUGUUUUCAUUAAUCAAGAACGAAGGUUAGGGGAUCGAAAAC